rnacentral:rRNA from 1 species
GGGACCUACGGGAGGCAGCAGUAGGGAAUUUUCGUCAAUGGGCGCAAGCCUGAACGAGCAAUGCCGCGUGAACGAGGAAGGUCUUCGGAUCGUAAAGUUCUGUUGAAGGGGAAAAAGAGCGGAGAGAGGAAAUGGUCUCCGAUUGAUAUUACCCUUCGAGGAAGUCACGGCUAACUACGUGCCAGCAGCCGCGGUAAUACGUAGGUGGCGAGCGUUAUCCGGAAUGAUUGGGCGUAAAGGGUGCGUAGGCGGCCUGCUAAGUCUGGAGUGAAAUGCCGCAGCUUAACUGCGGAACUGCUUUGGAA